GCGUCGUAGCCGACGUGUUUGCUGACGAUGAACUUGGGACGGUUCGCGAGAACAACGUCGUUCUCCGUGAAACAUUCUUCGGCUAUGGAACGUGAGGUGACGACAUAAAUGAGGCGGUUUCCGAGGCGUAGGUGGAAGAUUGGAGCAUUCCCGAUGGAUUUGGAGAGGGAAAGGAACCAUCGGUGGAGUGGGGUCUUGAAGAGGUGGAGGUGGCCGAGCACCGGUAAGGAUAUCGCCGGAGACGGUGGAAGUUUUAGUUUUCGGUUGGAUUUUGUGAGCAAGAAUCUAGCGGAGAUAAAGAGAAAGAGAGAAGAGAGGAUUAAAAUUUGGAUGAGGUCCAUUCUUUUUUGUAUGUUUGUUUGUUCUUCUUUUCUCCAAGCCUUUCUUUUGUAUUUGGUGUCUUGAUUCUUGAAGAUGAUAAACGUGGUGGGUCAUCUAUCUGUUCACGUCAACCAAGAAAAAACAUAUAAUAUGUAAUUAUAAUAUUGUAUUAUUUACUGGGUAAAAGACACGUAGAGAUAGCGAUAACUCACCCCAUGUAAUAGGGCGUGGCGUAUAUACUAUGCUUACUACCACCUAGUGAGCAGAUUGUUAUGAUUUCCAUAUCUAUGGGACUUAUGACUAUAAAUUUUGUAAUUAAUUAAUUUUCGUAUGGUAGUAUUAUGGCGUUGGCCUUCUCUUUGUAUUGGUAUGGUAUAGUAUCUGCUUGAUUGAUAAAGAAUACUUGGAUAGUCUAGACGUGGGGUUUGAGAAAACAUCACAAACUCAAAUCUUAGAUUGAACAGACCGUAACACGCUAACAAUUAUCAACAUUAUCGGAAAUUUACAGUCGAUUUAUUUAUAUGUUCAUAAACAUAUAACUAAUCUCAAAACAUCGCAAACUCAAUCGUAGAUUGAACAGACCGUAACACGCUAACAACUAUCAACAUUGUCGGAAAUUUACAGUCGAUUUAUUUAUUGUUUUUUAGGUGAUCCUUACAGAAAGUCAUAAAAUCAAGCUCCCUCGUGGAAGAUUUUACCAACAGCGGUACGUGCUCUGCACAUGGCUUCCAGAGGCUUGGCUUUAGGCAUUGUACCUCCUUUGCGUUCACUCAUAUCCACUUUCUCUUCUCCAAUCCUCUCCCAUUCCAAACACUGAAUCAAUGACCCAAGUGUCAGGUUUACUAGCCUAUGAGCCAGUCCUGAACCAGGACAUGCUCUUCUUCCUAACCCAAAGGACAUUAGCUUAUUAGAUUCCCCUUCUUUCUCGAACCUCUCAGGCUUAAAACUCGUGGGGUCCUCCCAUAGCUGUGGAUCUCUGUGUAUAGCCCAUGCGUUAGUCAAUAGUAUCGUCCCACUAGGCAUGUCGUAUCCCGCUACUUUACAAUCUUCCGAGGCCACGUGAGGAAGCAGCAUGGGGACGGAAGGGUACAGGCGUAACGUCUCACACACGAUGUUCUGAAGAUACGGCAGAUUGGAGAUGUCUGACUCGUCUAUAAGCCUGUCUAAACCCACCUUACAAUCAAUCUCAUUUCUCGCCUUUUUCAAUACAUCCGGAUAGUUCAACAAGUUCGACAAAGCCCAUUCUAAUGUCACCGCUGAUGUAUCAGUCCCCGCUAGUAUCAAGGCCUGCAUGCAAAUUACACACAUACACAAGACUAAACUUACGAGUUCCAUACCAAAACAAAAUGUCACAAAAAAUUAUGUAACAAGCUGAGUCAACCAAACUCAUUUUUAUGUUUUACCAACACAAAAAAAAACCCAAAACAUAUAAUAUAAGUUGUGUUAAAAAACUUAUAGCUUAAAUCUAAAAUAUAUAACAGAUAAAUAAAUAAUUUGUUACUGACUAGCCUGAUUAAUCCGAACGGUUUAAUACAUGCUCCUAGUUGUCGUCUAUAGCUAUAUCUCGAAAAUUACUUUUCGCAUAUGCACUAAUAAUUUUCUACAAAAUCCCUAGUUUCAGAAUCAAGCUUUGGGAUACUUACAACCAUGUUUCCUUUGAUGAUGCGAUCAGUGAAGUAAUCAGGCUGCGUUUCUUGCAGAGAAAGCAAGUGAUCGACCAUUGUGUUGCCCUUCUCCUUAGCGUCUCGUUUCUCAUCGACCAACCCUUGCAAGAACUCGUCCAACCUACCCGCCAGCUUCAUGACACGGUUCUCGUAAUCUGAAACCCAACGCAAGAACGGUAAGUAAUCAACAGCGUUUCCAGCGCCAGCUAGAGCCACCACAUCCGCAAUAAGCUGCCUGACUCUUUUAGCCUCUGGAUCCUCCUCAACACCGUCGCCGUAGUAACGUUUUCCAGCCACCAUUCUGAUGAUAUUGUUGAAAGUUAAGUCAGAUAACAUUGACUUCAUCUCCACCUUCGCAUAUUCCUACAUAUUAAAAUUUAUUAUAUAUCUCUUUAUGUUAAAUCGAUAACACAGCCCAAUAACGCAAUGAUGAAACUAGAUUCAGAGCUCACACCUAACUAAAAAUUAUGUUUCUUAAUAUUUAAAUAUUAACAAAGUUAGAGUGGCCAAUCCAAUAAUUUUAUUUGAAUUAUAUGAUAUAAUCUAAAUUAAUAGAUAUUUUAAACCAAACAAUUUCAACUACCAAAUAUUUUUAUUCAAAUUAUCCGAAAUUAUUUGAAGAAAAAACUGAAUAGAACCAAACUAGACUAUCAAACCAAACACUUAUAUGGAACCAAACUAAACUCGAUGAUUAAAUUACAGAGAGAGCUCACUCACUUGUGAAAAGUUUCUGGAGAGACGUAGUAUCAACCGCCUGAUCUCGUCCUUACGGAUAGACAAGAAGCUGUUGAGCCGAUGAUUGGAGAAUAUCUCGAGGGAGCCGAUGCGGCGGAGGUUGCGCCAGUGAUCCCCGUAGGAAGCUGCGAUCACGGUUGUGUAGUCAUACGCGACGUGCUUGGCGAGGAUGAAGUUUGGGCGGUUCGCGAGGACGACGUCGUUCUUGGUGAAGCACUCCUCGGCGAUGGAGUGUGAGGAGUUCACGAAAACGAGUCGGUUACCGAGGCGGAGGGAGAAGAUGGGAGCGUCGCCGAGAGAUUGGGAUAUGGAGAGGAAAGUUCGGUGGAUCGGCGGUUUGAGGAGGCGGAGGUGACCGAUCACCGGCAACGACCAUGGCGGAGAGGGAGGGAGGUUAGGGUGUCGCUUGAGUUUUCCGAUCAAGAAUCUGAGGGUGAGAACGACGAAGAGAACUGUGAGAAUUAGGGCUUUGGUUUCCAUUAUUUGCUUCUCUUCCCCUUGAAGUGAUUU
rnacentral:lncRNA from 1 species